rnacentral:rRNA from 1 species
GACGAACGCUGGCGGCGCGCUUAACACAUGCAAGUCGAGCGAAGCGGCGGACGGGUGAGUACCACGUGAGUAACCUGCCUUAGACCUUGGGAUAGCCUCGGGAAACCGGGAUUGAUACCAAAUGGUCUAAGAUGGACUCGCGUCCCAUUAGCUAGUUGGUGAGGUAACGGCCCACCAAGGCGACGAUGGGUAGCCGGCCUGAGAGGGUGAACGGCCACAUUGGAACUGAGAAACGGUCCAAACUCUACGGGAGGCAGCAGUGGUGAAUAGUGCACAAUGGAGGGAACUCUGAUGGAGCUACGCCGCGUGAACGAAGAAGGCUUUCGAGUCGUAAAGGUCUUUUAUAUGGGAAGCGGUACCAUAAGAAAAAGCCCCGGCUAACUACGUGCCAGCAGCCGCGGUAAUAC